AACCUGUCAGCCAGCCCCAGGACCCCAGGAACGAACUCGGGUGAUCAGACUUGGCAGGUGUCUGCAUCCACUGAGCUACAUGGCCGGCCAGCCCUCAAAGAUCAUCAUUUCACGGGAUGAACUGAGUUAGGACCCUGCAUUAAAGCAGCUUACGACCCUUCAUUCUGGCAGGUCCAUAACCCGGGGCACAUGGAACAGAUGGGCUAGGAAGCGAGGUGAUGCCCACCUUCCUUACAGGGCUUAGGCCUUCACUCGCUGUUGCAAGGUUGCUUGUGGGGCUUUGGACCAUCCCCUCAUCACUUUCUCAAUUUGGAAGUGAGAGCAGAAGGCAGAUGACAAACUGCAUCUAUUAAAGCUCGGCGACUGACAGAGCCUAAUGUGUCUUAGAAGCUGCAGUAUAAUAAGGUGACCGUGAUUUAAUGGAACCAACUCUUUAUGACCCCACCCUUCAGCCUCAGCACUGUGACUGCUCCAAACGAGAGGAGAGAACGAAAGCCAACAUGUCACUCGAUUAGUAAUUGAUGGAGCAGAAGUUCAGAUUCAGGAGCCACGGACUUGGAUACCGAGAUGGAAACCAAUGCCUUCUGCUAUUUGAUGUGUCAAGAAACGCGUUCUUUUAGUAACAGCAGCCACGCUGUUCCUAAUGGGAUGAAAACACCUUUAAAACCUCGUCCAAACGGCGAUGGGGAUCCACAUGCCUCAUUGCCUGAAGGGUGUCCGUGGGUUUCUAACUGAAAACUCUACUUACAGUCAAGGCUGCCGUUUACCCUGGUUUUAUACGUGAGGAAACUGGGCUCCUGGAGAGCUAGGUAGCUCGCUUCAGGUCAUAGCUAUGGUAAACGGUCAGCCAGGACUAUGAAUCAAAUUCCGUCAAGAUGUGACUCUUUACUGCUGAUAGUGCGCCAUUGCUCUGUCUUAAUGAGAGGUGUAGUUAAUGGUGGGUCACUUACAGCAAGUGGCAAUAGGAUACACUCAUAGGACUCGGACAGAAAUGGAUCUACAUCUCAUUUCUGACGUAAGGUGCUUAGCAUCUCCCGUGACACCCUUGUCCACCAGGCCAUCCCCACAGAGCUAUGGUGACUGGAGGGAUGGUGUGAUGAGACAUUCUCAGAACUUGUUUAGCAGGUGACAGAUCCUCAGGAAACAGAUGGUGCCUCCGAGAGACGGUCAUGCUUAAUACCCAGGCUAACAGACAGAAUCUUAACCCAGGCCAUUAGAUUUCAAACCCAACUUCUCUACCGCUAGACCACUGUCUCAGCAAAGGUGUGUGCGUUCUCUCAUGACAUCAGUAAAUCUGCGCCUGCUUUUACACAGCCUCUCAGUUCUACUGUAGGUCUACUCCAGACUGCUUCAUGUGCUUCUGAACCCAAUAUGGAUACCACUGGGAAGGUUACAUACGUACACAGAAGUAAGUUCCUGCCACAAGAUUUAAACAGACGAUUAUGAUAUGCCAGCCUUAAGACCAAAGGUAACCAUUAAGAUGUAUCACGUACUCACUAGCUCAGUAAUUCUAUUUGUGGUAAUGGAGUCUCUGGGAAUGGAAAAAAACCAUAUAUUAAAAAGGGGGUUGUAGCACUGUAAAGAAUAACCACAAGAAACUAAAAACAAUUAGAUAUUUUUCAAGAAGAGCAUUUUUAGAUAAUUUGGGUGGUUCCUAGUCUAAGAGACACCCUGUGAGCAUUCACAGGAUGACUGAGGUAGCAAUGUAGCCCUAAGAUCGUCAUUUGCAGGAUGAUGCCUUGUGACACAGAAGAUGUGAAAUUGUCCCCGUGCCAAACUGAACCCCCAGGGCUCAAAAACAAGACACCGAGAAAGGGUAUUCAGGCAGUGCAAAAUUAUCGCGGGUAUCUGUUUCUUCUUUACAUGUUUUGUGUCAAAUUAUGAAGUUGAUUUUAAGGAAUAAAGGAUAAGGUCAAGAAAGGCAACAAUAUAUUCGAUCGUAAAUGUGUAACCCUGUCCAUAUCUGAUGCUGAGAGCCAUGGGAGAACCGGAUGGCCAGAGAAGACUCUUUCUAUGAACAAGAAGUUUGGAGAAAGGUUCAAUACCUGUCUAAGUUUCUUCCUUGGUGACCAGGAACCCUAUGAGAUCUCAGGUCCAGCCCAAAUGUUGCUCCUGAACAGCUUCAGGAGGAAGCAUGGCUAAAGCUGGGCCAGAAACCCAGUUUUUAAGGGUAUGUCACUGCUUUAAGGGCUUUCAUCUUUUCUUCCAGCAGGGUGGGGUGGACAAUAGCUCACUCCAACCCCUCUCCCCAGGAGUUUUGAGAAGAACUUAGAAGAGUUUGGAUGAUCGGGCAAAGUCUGCGAGGUCUCUGCCUAGAAGCAAAAGGUCAUACAUAGAACGGAGUCCUUCACCAUCAUCUUACCG
rnacentral:sRNA from 1 species